UUUCUCAGAAAAGUUAGCAAUGGCUUCUUCAGGUUUCUUAGUCCUUUGUUUCAUCGCUGUUUUUUGUGCUUUUGCUGUUCCUUCCUUUGGUCGUGUCAUUCCCACAGACACAGUGAAGAACAUUGUAUUAGUCUCAAAAAUUGAGCAAACUAAUCAUUGGUUGGACAAGGAACCCAGAAUCAUGCCCCCAAGUCAACCAAGUGUCAAAUUUUUCUGAAAAUUCAAGGGUGAUGGUAGAGGAUAUACAUGUAGACUAUUCAGGUCAUCAUACUCAUCCAUGUCCACCAGAUCACUGCCGUUGAAUUGUACUAAGGACAAUACUGUCUUCUUAUUGUCAUGCAAAAAAUAAGAGAAUAAAAU